CCCGGGGGGGGCCCUCGGGCCCCAGGGGCUGCUGAGAGGAAGGGGGGGCCUCAUCCUGCUCCCUCCGGGAGGAGCCGUCCAGCUCCUGGGCGCCCUGGCGGCCCAGCCUGCGCUCCGCCGAGCCGCCUGGGGGGGUUUUGGGGGACAUUUAGGGUCGCCCCCCGAUUUUAGGGUCACCCCCCGGCUUUAGGGGGGGCCCAGCACCUUUGGGUGCCCCCCCUGGGGAGCUCGGCACCCACCUGUGUGCGCUGGGCCCUCCUCGUCCUCCUCACACUCCACUUCCACGGUGUCGGCGGGGGGCGCUCCUGGAGGGGGGGGAGAGGCAAAAAUUGGGGGUUUUGGCCCCAAAAUGUGGCGUUUUGGGGGAUUGUUAGCUCGGAGCGGGGCAUGGUUAGCUCGGAGAGGGACCCCAGUGUCCCAUAUUGGGCCCUUUUUGCCCCAAAAUGGCCCCGUUACCUCAUAACAGAACCCCAUUAUCGCUUAUCACAACCCCAUUGUCCCAUAUUGGGCCCUUUUUACCCCAAAACAGCCCCAUUACCUCAUAUCAGGACCCCGUUACCUCACACCGGCCCCAUUAUCCCAUAGCAGGAUCCCCUUAUCCCAUAUUAGGCCCUUUUUACCCCAAAACGGCCUCAUUACCUCAAAACAGAACCCCAUUACCCCUUAUCACAACCCUGUUGUCCCAUAUUGGGCCCUUUUUACCCCAAAAUGGCCCCAUUACCUCCUAUCAGGCCCCCAUUACCUCACACCAGCCCCGUUAUCUCAUAUCUGGACCCCACUGUCCCAUUUUGGGCCCCUUUUACCCCAAAACAGCCCCCUUACCUCCCCCAACCCCCUCAUUCCCCACCAGGACCCCAUUACCUUUUUUUGGGACCCCAUCACCCCAUUUUGGGACCCUUUUUCCUCAUUUUGGGACCCCAUGACUUCACUUUGAGCCCCCUUUACCCCAAACCCGCCCCGUUACCCUACCCCAGGACCCCCUCACCUCAUUUGGGGACCCCAUCACCACAUUUUGGGACCCUUUUUCCGCAUUUUGGGACCCCCUCACCUGGUUUUAGGACCCCUUUACCUCACUUUAGGGCCCUCUCACCUCAUUUUGGGCCCCUUUUACCUCAUUUCGGGACCCUUUUACCUCGUUUAACCCCCCCCUCACCUCACACCGGGACCCCUUUACCUCAUUUUGGGACUUUUUUUACCUCAUUUGAGGACCCCUCACCCCAAACCAGGACCCCUUUACCUCAUUUUGGGACCCUUUUACCUCAAAAAGGACCCCUCACCUCAUUUUGGGACAUUUUGCUUCAUUUAAAGACCCCUCACCCCAAACCGGGCCACUUUUCCCUCAUUCCGGGGCCCUUUUCCCUCAUUUCGGGACCUUUUUACCUCAUUUCGGGACCCCACACCUCACACCGGGCCACUUUUACCUCAUUUUGGGACCCUUCCACCUCCUUUAACCCCCCUUUACCUCACGCCGGGCCCCUUUUACCUCAUUUUGGGCCCCUUUAUCUCAUUUUGCGACCCUUUCACCUCAUUUUGGGCCCCUUCCACCCCCCCACACCCCGCGUUUCCCCCUUU
rnacentral:lncRNA from 1 species